rnacentral:rRNA from 1 species
UAGUGGCGAACGGGUGAGUAACACGUGGGCAAUCUGCCCUUCACUCUGGGACAAGCCCUGGAAACGGGGUCUAAUACCGGAUAACACUCCUGCCUGCAUGGGUGGGGGUUAAAAGCUCCGGCGGUGAAGGAUGAGCCCGCGGCCUAUCAGCUUGUUGGUGAGGUAGUGGCUCACCAAGGCGACGACGGGUAGCCGGCCUGAGAGGGCGACCGGCCACACUGGGACUGAGACACGGCCCAGACUCCUACGGGAGGCAGCAGUGGGGAAUAUUGCACAAUGGGCGAAAGCCUGAUGCAGCGACGCCGCGUGAGGGAUGACGGCCUUCGGGUUGUAAACCUCUUUCAGCAGGGAAGAAGCGAAAGUGACGGUACCUGCAGAAGAAGCGCCGGCUAACUACGUGCCAGCAGCCGCGGUAAUACGUAGGGCGCAAGCGUUGUCCGGAAUUAUUGGGCGUAAAGAGCUCGUAGGCGGCUUGUCACGUCGGUUGC